rnacentral:misc_RNA from 1 species
GGCGUGGGACGAGGUGGAGGAGCUGAGCGCGGCGGCGAGCCACGCGCGCGACAAGCUCAAGGAGACCUCCGACCCGCUCGAGGCCUACUGCAAGGACAACCCGGAGACCGACGAGUGCCGCACCUACGACAACUGAUUCUUACCAUUAUAUGUUUGCUAAUCUCUCUGUAAUUAAUUAUAAGUUACUGGGUUGAAAAGAUUAUUUGUCGUAGAAGACAGAGGGGAGUUUGGUGGAAUGGUGGUAUUUACGGAUAGUUCAAGGGGGAAAUGGGAAAAAAAAGGUUUUUUACACUUGUUUGUCUGGAUGAAUUUGUAUGGAACUUUUCUGCUUGAUAAUUUUCGCAUGUGUUAGUAUUUGUAUAUGAUGAUAUAA